GUUUCUGUGGCCUAGUGGUUAGAGCAUCCGCCUCGAAUGCGGGAGUUUGUGGGCUAGAUUCCCGGCCGAGUUAUA